CCGACCGAGGAGCGUUGCGACCCGCAAGGGCCAGGCUCGGCAGGCAACAACGGCGCUCUCAAACC
rnacentral:ncRNA from 2 species